AGUGAUGUUUGAGCCCCAGCAUAGAUCAGCAUGCCAGGAAGCAGCCCACCGGACCCACCCCUGAUCAUGGCACUGGACAUUGUUUUCCGUGCUUUUCUCAGGCUGGUUUCUGCCUGUCCCAACCCUGGCCAUGGCUGACAAGGGGCCCAGGGACACUGGAGCAGAGAGACCUGCUGGUCCUUGGGGUUUCUUGCAAGCUGCCUCUAAAGGGAAAUAUCCCAGGAGUGAUGAAAACUUGAAGAUCGAGGAUUGGAUAUAAGCUCAGAGGUGAAGGAGGGAAAUUCCUCGGGUCAACUUUAGCGGACUGAUCCACGGGGUCUGCCAAGAGACAGGAGCUCGAGGGUUAAACCCAAGCACUCGGGAGUCAGAUGUAUGAAUCUGAAUCUCAGCCUCUCGGCUUGCUGUGUAAUCUCAGAGUGAAUCAUCUGUGAACACUUCCUGUGAACGUGUGACUAUGAUUAUGGAACACUCUGUUGCAUCAAGAUGGCCAGAGAUUGUCUCAGAGUCCAGGCAGUGGGAGGAGGGGGGAUUUGUUUCCUGGCUGGGUGGUCGUAGGGCAUCAAGGGAUGAGCAGCUUUGGUUGUCUGGGAUUUCAGCAGCUUGAGGGGAGCUGUAGGGCCCCAGAGCUGUCGCUGUGGCUGUGGUGUCAGAAAUGUAAGCAAGGUGCCUCCAUGGAGGUUAGCGAGGGUGCCCCUCUGAAUGCCGGGUGGAAUGCAACCUUUCGCAUGGAGGAGGCCCUCAGCAGCUGACCUCUGUCUUCCCUGUGUAGAGGGAGGGAGGCUGAGGCUGGGGCUGAGCGAGGGGUAAAGUAAGCCACGUGUCUCAUCAGCUAGCCUGCAGCAAGCACAGCCCUCUGGGAGGGCUGGUUCUAUCCUCCUCCUUGGUGUGAAAUCCAUCAAUCUAAUAGGGAUCCUUAUUUUCCCAGCCACCAAGUCACAAUGAGCAAUAAUCUCUUCUUGUUGGUGCAUAUAAAUUUGCUUCAUUCUUUUUUAAACAGCUGCCUUGUGUCGCCUUUUGCAUUCAGCCCAAGUCCAGCCUAGGAGGACAGCCUUAUCUUAAGUCACUGAGGGAACUAGCUUGCCUAACUGAAAGGGCUUUGCCCUGGAAGGAGAAGGGUCUUCUGGAAACAUAAAACGUUUCAGGGGAGGGCAGUCCUGAAUGAGAUGGCUCUAGGGGGUGGGGGACACUGGACCGCCUGAAGGUACUGGGCAUCUGGCCUGGGCUUUUGAGGAAAUGCAAAGCCAUGCUAUAGAUGAUGCUGAGCAAAGGCGGGAGAGAGACGUGGGGGUCCUACCGGGGUCACUUGAAAACCCCUUCUCCGGCCUCCCCCACGCUAACCCAUCUCUCCUGGCACGCAAGUCUGGAAAGGCCACUGGCCCUAACCAUGCUGGCUCUGCGUCCACCUUCCUCUUCAAUUCAAAUGGCUUGGAUAAAGCCAUGGGUUAUGACGCUUAACCCAUCACUGUGGGAAACUGGAUGACUUGGGGAACAAAGCCAACCUUUUGCUGUCUUGCGGAGGCAGGCAGUGGAGGGUUAUUGCCAAAAGCCUGAGCUCCGGAGCUGUGAUCUCUGAGUCUCAGUUUCCCCGUGUAAAAUGUGAUUCGAAUGAUACCUACUUCACAGGGGUAUUGUAGGGAUUGAAGGAAAUAAUGGGGAGAAGGCAUUUAUCCAAUGCCCGGCAUAGACUCUCGCAGUAACUCCCAGUUGCUCAGGCUAGUCGGGGAGGGUGGGACUGCGGCUCUAGCAGAGCCAUGGCGCCACCUUGCGGUUCUGUCGGCCAGGACAGUCGGUUAAUCAGAUUCAAAUCCAGUGACCCUUUUUCAAGCGCCUGUGAGUAGGCCUGUGCUGGGUUGAACUCAUUAUUAUUUAAACAUGUAAACUGUGUAAUGGUAAGUACAGUGCUAGUGUCUAACAGAACAUCUUGGAAAGAUCUUACAGUGCGAUGCUGGAGAAACAUCGUUUGGAAGGAACCCGCUCUCCACGCCCCCAUCAAAGGGACCCCCUUCUAAGCUACCAUGACUGCUCAAAUACCCCAGACGUUCCCAGCUUCAGCGACUAACUGGAAACAAGGUUUUGUUAGCUUAAGAGCAAGGAGAGGGGAUUCAUGAUCAGAUUUAAAAUGUCUCCUCAGUUUCCAAGUCCUGCCAUAUUGCUUCUCCCAGUUUCACUCAAACCCCCGCUCCCCUCCCCAGCCCCCUAGCCCACCACUGGUCUGCUGUCUUUCCUCUCUCCGGACCCGCUCAGGUCUCCCAUUCCCUUUGCUUUUCCCCUCCACCCCCACCUCCACUGUAACCUGCUAUGGUUAGUCUCCUCCUCUUCCUGCUGCACCCCUCAUCACCACCUCUUCUGAAAUUGCAAGCCCCCACUCCUGCUCCUCUUUCCCACUUUGCUCUGCUCCUUAACGCUUAUUGCUGACAUGCCCUGUGGCUGAUUAGUUGCUGACUGUCACGCCCCAUUUGAAGGGGGCAGUGAGGGCAGGGAUUUCAAUGUUUCUUCAUGGCUGUAUCUUCAGCACCUUAAACAGUGCCUGGCUCAUAGUGGGUGCUCAAUAACUGCUUGUUGGUUGAAUUAAGCCAUGAAUGAAAAUAAAGGUGAAAUCUGGGAUGGGGAAAAUUAGAGAAGUUGUCCAGCAUGCCUCAGGUUUCAAAGUGAGAAGAAAACGUAUUAUUUUCUAAGGUAGAAAGGAGUUUCCUAGAGAAAGUGGUGGUUUCACAGCCGAGUAACCUGCACAGCCAUACAGGACCCCACAUGUAGAAAAACCUGGUAUUAGGAAGGGCCUGGCACCUGGAGUCUAGUGCUCUGAGGCUGAAGUCUUGAAAUUCUUAAUACUUGUAUCUUUAUAUUUAUUUAUUUAUUUAUUUAUUUUUGAGACGGAGUCUCACUCUGUCAACCAGGCUGGGGUGCAGUGGUGUGAUCUUGGCUCACUGCAACCUCCACCUUCCAGGUUCAAGAGAUUCUCCUUCCUCAGCCUCCUGAGUAGCUGAGAUUACAGGCGUCCACCACCAAGCCCAGCUAAUUUGUUUUAUAUUUUUAGUAGAGACAGGGUUUCACCAUGUUGGCCAGGCUGGUCUCAAACUCCUGACCUCAGGUGAUCCACCCCACCUCGGCCUCCCAAAAUGCUGGGAUUACAAGCACGAGCCACCACGCCUGGCUACUACUUGUGUCUUUGAAUUUGCCUUUUGUAAGUGGAGUCCAGUGGGACAAUGGGAGCCUGCGUGGUGGCUCAGGGCCUCCCCUCAUGCAUGAUCCCACCUCCCAUCAGCCCCAUAGACUCCCAGGAUGAUUCUCAGACCCCUCCCUACCCUCUAGUGCACUGGGCCCCACCCAACCUCCCCUUCCCAUGACCAGAAGGGGCCUGGGCACAGGCAAGGGAAGGGUCAGCAUUGAGUAUCUAGGCUCCAAUGCAUCCCCAGGCAGGUCAUGGCAGCAGCUGUUCUGAAGCCAUUUCCCCUCUCCCCCAUGGCAGCCCCAUGGCAUGUCUGGUGGCCAUGUCUUGACAAGGGCCAUCGAGGUACCCUGGUCCAAGUAUAAAGUCCCAGCUUGGAGGUUUAAAGAUCCUUGGAGGUGGCCAAACUGCCAUGGGCUGGGGCCGUUGGCCUGUGCAAAAGGAAGAUGCCAGGCUCUGCUCCUCCUGGCCUGGCAUUGCAUAGGUCUGGUGACUGGAGGAAAGGGGAACUGAGCAGGUGUCAGAGUCAGGGGUUCCCAGAUGCCUGAGGGUCUGGUGUGUCUGUCUCCUCUGGUCAACUUGAGGCACCCUCAGAGAAGAGUCACAAAAUAUGAAUUGUGAAAUUCAUUCCCUAUCUCAGCUGAAUGCUCUGCUAUUUGCAUUUAAAAUCUGCAUUGCACGACAUAAAUGGUAAAAUUCAUGCUAAUCAUUUAAAUUUUUAAUUUUUCUUUACUUAGAAUAUUAAAUAGCAAAUAACAUCACAAUAAGCAGAGAAAGAGAGAGAGAGAAACCUUGGAAGAAAGGGAAAAGCAUUGUAGGUACCUUUCAGGGUACUUGUUUCCUGCUUUUCGAACAAGAGUCCCGCAUUACCAUUUUGCACUAGGUCUUGCAAAUUUUAUAGCUGGCCAGGAGUUAUACUCAACAUUCAUGUCAAGGUGAUUCUGUUAGGAUUAAAGAUCUGGUAAUCAGUUUCUGAUUGUGUUUGGAUAGUAUCAUUUGUACUUGAUGGAACUAUGCUGCCAGCUGUGUAAUAAUCCUACAUAUAUAAAGGAGCUAUUUCCUCUCAUUUAUUAUUAACCCUUUAAAACUUGGUCUUAUUUCAUUAAGCUAAAAGGACUAGCAUUGCCAGGAAAAUCUCACAAAGGAAAAGGCACAGCAUAGACUGCUAAUUUAUACUAAAAGUCAGAUAUAUACAUAUUUAAAUAUCCAUCAAAAUCCAAAAUAACUUUCCUUCAAGGCUGAGAUAUGUCCCAACAAGUUUGAGCUUAGAUCAGGUUUCUCAAAAGUGGCACUAUUGACAUUGGGAGCCGAUCAUAGUCCCAGGAGAUACAAUUUUUAAUGCCAUAAUCCCGAAUGUCAUAAUGCUGAAGUCCCAAAAGGUCAAAAUCCAUAAAGUCUAAAACCUGAAAAUCAUAAUCCUGAAAGAGCAGAAUUCCAAAAAUGUAAUUCCGGAAAAUAUAAUUUAAAAAUUCUUUAAAAGAUAUUUAUUUACUUUUUUUUUUACAUUUACAUGUAUUUACAUUUUUAAAGGGAAUUUAUUUGAGAAACAUAUGAAAACACAGAACACUUCAUAGGUCACUUUAUGCAAUAAAAUAGGCAAUAAUAACAUACAUUUUUGUGCAAGCAUAAACAUUCAUAUAUACUAAUGAAAGUUGCAUAAUUAUAUCAGUAAUGAACAGACAAGCCAUAUUCAUAAAGAAAUAGGUCAUAAAGGGGCUGGGCGCAAUGGCUCAUACCUGUAAUCCCAGCCAAGGUGGGAGGAUUGCUUGAGCCCAUGAGUUCAAGACCAUCCUGGGCAAAACAGUGAGACUCCAUCACAGGAGGCUGAAGUGGGAGGAUUACUUGAGCCUACGAGGCCAAGGCUACAUUGAGCUGUGAUCACACCACUGCAUUCCAGCCUGGGCAACAAAGUGAGACUCUAUCUCAAAAAAAAAAAAAAAAAAAAAAAAAAAAAGGAAAGAAAAAAAAAGAAAUAGGUCAAGAAGGGAAAUGUAAAUGCAUAUCCCCAUGGUUGGUAAAUGUGUGCACCCAGUUUUAUGCCUUUGGUCAUCUGAAAUACCAUAACAACCUAAGAUUCUUUUGAUGAGAUCUAUCAAAAACAGGAUGGGUCACUACUGCAUAUGCAGCCACCUAAAGAGCCAAGAUGUUCAAACAUUUUACCUUUCACAAAUGCAGAUGUACAAAAAGGACACCUCUUCACUUACUGAGGAUGCUUCAAUGUUUUUAUGUACAGGAACAAUGCUUACACACAGUCAAUGCUGUGACAAUGUACUUUCAUGGAGUCAAAUUUGCAAAAAAACAGAACUUUCUAAGUCUCUACACAAAUUAUGCCUCCAGUAUCAGAAAUGAUUUGAAGAUGAAUUAUAUAGCAUAGCAAAUUGUAAAAAAGAAUGCCAACAAUUUUAAAUAGUGAAAAAAAAACAUAAAACAGAAAAAAAAAAGAUAAUUUGACAUACAAAAAAGUGUAUUACAGGACUGGAUUAUGGGCAAUUGCAUGGAGAUAGUCCAUAAGAGCUGGCCAACCUCCACAAUCAUUAACUAUAUUUUAAAGUCUUGCAUCAUGAGGAAUAGCUGCUUUUUCUCUUUUAGGGCAUGGCUCUACUUGGAGAAUAUGUUCACAUUCAUUUUCUACAUGGUGCUGUUCUUCCUGGCAUUCUUCUAUGAUUCCAUAUACACUGACAGGAGCAUUCCCUACUAAAUUUCCCUAUUUUCUGUGUCAUGCUUCUGUGUUGUUUUGGGUACUCAGAAAUCUGUUCUGCAUGCACUCAUUAGGCCACAGAUUUGACAGAAACAGUACUGGUGAUCAAACAGCAACACCAUUGUGUAUUUUCUUAUCCUACCAUGUACAUAUUUAUUUUCAAAACAGUCAGUAACUUUGCUGACGUCUUCAGGCAAAUGUGGCUUUAAUUCAUUAAAAGUUUCUAGAAUGUCAUCAGCUGGAAGGAAUUCCAAGGCAGGCGAAUGAUACAUUUUUUCCCCAUCUCUUAAUACAUACUGUACACAAGGAAACACUCUUCCCCCACCCCCCACCCACCUGCCCUUUAAGAGACAGGGUCUCUCUCUGUCUCCCAGGCUGGAGUACAGUGGCUUCAUCACAGCUCACUGCAGCCUCCACCUCCCGGGCUCAGACAAUCCUCCUGCCUCAGCCUCCCAAGUAGCUGGGACCACAGGCACACGCCACACCUGGCUAACUUUUAAAAAAAUUAUUUCUAGAGACAGUGUCUCACUACAUUGCCCAGGCUGUUAUGAAAUUUCUAAGUUCAAGAGAUCCUCCCUCCUUGGCCACCACGCCCAGCUGGAAAGUGCAUUUUUAAACUGAAGUUUUUUGUUUUGUUUUCAAGGUUACACAGUAAUUUAUUGAGAGCCUCCUCUCCCUGCCCUUGCAGUCUCUAGGUCACUUUUUCCGCUUGUAGAUUUUGCACGCCAGCCCCAGAAAGAUGGCUGGGAGCAGGGGCAUUGCAUACUGUUCAAUGAGACCCAUAAUGUGGCUGUGGCUGUAACUGUCAUCCUCAUACUGCAAGAACACGGCCAGCAGAUCUAGCUCCUCAUAUAGUGCCUUCUCCUGGACCACCUUCUUGGCCUCCUUCUGCCCCUAAUUCUCCUUCAGGAUCUGGUACUGUUUUGGAGUGGCCCAUUGCAGACACUGAACCACCAGCCAGCUGCAUUUGUUGUCCUAGAUGGCAGUGCCAACUUUGUCAGUCACAGUGGAGUCCCCAAAGAGGUCAAAGUGAUCAUCCUGAAUCUUAAAGAACUCUCCCAUCUCCAGCAGGAUCUUCUUGGCAUUGGUGUGUGCCUUCUCACCAUCAAUGCCUGCCAUAUGCAUGGCUGCAGCUAUAGGAAGGUAGAAAGAGUAGAAAACUGUCUUGUACUUGACAAUUUGUAAUUCUUUUCCUUGAAUCUGCGAAGAUCCACAUUGCCCUGGGGGUGCUGUGAUGGGGUCCAGGGUCUGCCCAAUCUCAGUCUGAUAGGAACUCUGCAGGAAGAGCUCAAUCAGGUUCAGGUAAUAGGGCUGCUCCCAACAACAGAGCUUCAGCAGGCAGUAGAUACAUGCUUCCAGAAGCAUAGCAUCAUUGACAGCAUCCAAACCCACGCCCAGCUUCUGAUACCAGCAGAUCUGUCCCCAGUGGGUGAGGGAUGAAUCCGUGAUGUCAUCUACCACGAGGAAGAAAGCUUGCAGCAGUUCCACACACCAACCCACCAUCAGGGCCCGCUGGAAACUAUCAGCAUCCUGUUUCCUUGGCUCCACCAGCUCCCGGAAUGCUAAGCACCGUCAAACCCCGGUGAUAACUUGCCUCCGAUGGCAUUGUACUCCAGGACCUCCUUGAGCUGGGCGAUAGCAUCUCCUGUCUCUGGGUGCCCCAUCUCAUCCUCAGUCAGCACCCUAACAAUCCGGGAGAAGUGCUGAAUGAAAUCCUGUUUUUCUUGGGCAUAAGCAUCUGAUUUUUGAUCUCCAUUCAUUCUGAGGGAGGAGCAAAGGGCUCUAUUCCUGGAUGCGGGUUCCUGCUUCUAAACUGAAGUUUUUGUCAUUGCUGUAUCUCCUGGCCUAUCUACUCAUCUAAUUUUCUAUCAAAUGCAUUGGGCUGAAUGGAAAAAAAACAAACUUUAUUGGUAACACUUUGAAAUUCACUUUUAGAAGCUUUGAUCACACCUAAUUCCAAAUCUGUUGUUAUGGUUUGGGGAUUCAAUCGAAAGCUAUUUUCUUCUGCAAAGUGCAGCAAAUCUUCAAAUAAUUGUUUAAAUGACUAGAUAAGUUCUAGAAUCUUCAGAACCAACAGGGGCAUGAAUCAUGUAUAGUUGAUAAAAACCAGUAGGGAUAGUUUUGAAAGUGCCGUCCACUAGCCAAAAUGAAAACAUGCGAUAGUUUUUCUGUUAGAUUUAGUGGUAAAUAUAAGCAGUCUAUCUUCUUCGACAGUCAAAUCCCUAACCAAGAACAGUUUGGUUAAUGAGUUUUGUAACACUGGAGGAACCUCAGUAUCAGCAAGUGUCUUUGGUUCACAAGGUCGUUCAGCUUGUCGAAUUUUAUUCUCUGACAAAGGGCAUUUUUUUAAGGCAAGCGUGGCACUAUUCAUGAAGGAGCAGAAUUUGUACAUAACUGAAUAAUUUGGCAGGAGAGAUUUCUUGUACUUUUCACCUGAAAAGUCGCUUUUAUGAUCUUCAAAACACUAAACAUUGAGGAAAGAUAUUCCCCACCUAGUCUACUGAGACUCACAUAUUAACCUCCUCUGGAAACACCCUCACAGACACAUCUAAAAUAAUGCUUUACCAGAUUUCUAGGGAUUCCUUAAUCCAGUCAAGUUGACACAUAAAUCAACAAGUUCACCCCUUAUCAACUCGAUAUCCAUCCACAUCUCUUAAACCAUACUUAAUUUCCAAAUGAAGACAAUAACAAGGUAAUAGUUCUGCCUAACAUGAUGCAAUUAUCCUGUAUACAGCUGAAACGGCACUAAUCCCUAACCUCAAAUUCGGCUUUCAGGAUUUUAACAUCUGGGAUUUUAAUCUUUCAGGAUUGUGAUUUUGGAAGUUCACACAUUAGGGAUUCUGAUCUUUUGGGAUUUAAGACAUUAGGGAUUUUGGUCUUUCAGGAUUUUCGCAUUUGAGAUUGUAUCAUUCAGGAUUAUGAUCCAAACCCAUGGACAUUUUGUUGUCAGCAGCUGUCCUGUGCAUUGUAAAAUGUUUACAGUGUCCCUGGCCUGUACCCACUAGCAGCCAGUAGCACCCUACCCCAAAUCAUGACAAUCAAAAAUGCCCCCAGACAUUGCCAAACGUCUCUUGAGGAGCAAAAUCACCCUGUUAAGGACCACUGGCUUACAUACAUGGAUUAAUGAGAUGGGAGGUAAAGCGCCAUACAGUUUAGGACUGGAAUGCCACUCCCUUGAGCAUCAGAUCCAUGUUUCCUUCUGUACCCUACAAUGAAGACCUACAAAUCAUAAACACAACUCCCAUCAACUAAGAGACCAACAAAUGCAAGACACAUAACUACAGGGAAACUGAAGAAUUCUUUUAUUUAGUGGGAAAGAAGUAGGUAAAUGACAGACAGCUCAUAUUCUGUUAAACAGAAAAAAAAAAA
rnacentral:lncRNA from 1 species